rnacentral:rRNA from 1 species
UAGGGAAUCUUCCACAAUGGACGCAAGUCUGAUGGAGCAACGCCGCGUGAGUGAAGAAGGUCUUCGGAUCGUAAAGCUCUGUUGUUGGUGAAGAAGGAUAGAGGCAGUAACUGGUCUUUAUUUGACGGUAAUCAACCAGAAAGUCACGGCUAACUACGUGCCAGCAGCCGCGGUAAUACGUAGGUGGCAAGCGUUGUCCGGAUUUAUUGGGCGUAAAACGAGCGCAGGCGGAAUGAUAAGUCUGAUGUGAAAGCCCACGGCUCAACCGUGGAACUGCAUCGGAAACUGUCAUUCUUGAGUGCAGAAGAGGAGAGUGGAACUCCAUGUGUAGCGGUGGAAUGCGUAGAUAUAUGGAAGAACACCAGUGGCGAAGGCGGCUCUCUGGUCUGCAACUGACGCUGAGGCUCGAAAGCAUGGGUAGCGAACAGGAUUAGAUACCCUGGUAGUCCAUGCCGUAAACGAUGAGCGCUAGGUGUUGGGGAC